AGAGACUCUUGGGUUAAGAAGUCCACCGCUUCUCACAACGUACAGCUGCCUUCUCUCUCACCUGCUUCUCACAAGACAACCAUUGCGCUUGUUGCCGUUGUCACUCCACCAUUGUCUGUGCCGACAACAAUCUCUGAUUACUCUCCGGUCUUCUUCUUCCUAAAGGUAUGGAUAAGUCUUGGAUUUCAAAGCUACAUACCACACCUGAAUAUGAAAUUGGAUUAGAUAUAUUCUUAGAUUUUGCUUUUAACAAUGUGGCUGUUGGAGAUACAAUACGAUGUCCAUGCCCGAUGUGUAGGUUUUUGAAACCGCAAACUAGAAGUGUAGUUAGGGAUCACUUACUAUGCAAACCAUUUCCUAAGAACUAUGUCGUAUGGACCCUUCACGGUGAGAGAAAAAUUCCAGAGUCUUCUAGAAAUGAAGACUUUGUGCAAGAUAAGUUUCAAUCAUAUAAUAUGAUGGAAACAAUGCUCAAUGAUGCAUUUGGUAACUAUAGGCAAGAUGCUGCUGAUUUAAAUGAAUCAGACCCGAUAGACUUAGAGGACAUAGCUAAUGAAGGGACAAGAGUUGAUAGCGGUGAUUUUUGUGAGUUUCUCAACGAUGGAAGCCAGAUAUUGCAAGAAGGAAGCAAGUAUACAAAACUUGAAUUUAUAAUCAAAUUAUAUCAUAUAAAGGUAUUGUGUGGAUUAAGUGACAAAGCAAUUACUAUGAUAUUAGAUUUGUUGAGAGAUGCGUUUCAACAAGCAAAGUUACCUCAUUCAUUUUACGAGGCAAAGAAAGCCAUCAAUAAACUUGGUCUUAAUUAUACAAAGAUAGAUGCAUGUCUAAAUGAUUGUAUGUUGUUCUUGGGAGACGACGAAAAAGAACUACAAGAAUGCAAGCAUUGUGGAGCAUCUCGAUGGAAUCCUAAGAAGAAGAAGAAGCAAGCUGCAAAGGUGUUACGUUACUUUCCACUAAAAACAAGAUUGCAAAGAUUGUUCAUGUGUUCUAAGACUGCAGAGCAUAUGAGAUGGCAUGCUUCGGGAAAUAACAAUGAUGGACUAUUAAGACAUCCAAGGGAUGGUGAAGCAUGGAAGAACUUUAAUUUAAUUCAUCUUGAGUUUGCCUCAGAUCCUCGAAAUGUUCGCUUGGGACUUGCUAGUGAUGGUUUUAACCCAUUUGGAACCAUGAAUUCUAAAUAUAGUGUUUGGCCAGUGUUCUUGAUCCCAUAUAACUUUCCUCCUUGGAUGUGUAUGAAGCACACUUCCUUCCUCUUGUCAAUGAUCAUUCCUGGGAAAUCGAGUCCCGGAAAUAAUAUAGAUGUUUAUUUACAACCCCUUGUGAAUGAGUUAAAGGAGCUAUGGAAUGAUGGCGUGGUAACAUUUGAUGUAUCCAUGAAUGAAAGUUUUAGAAUGCGGGCAGCUCUUAUGUGGACGAUUAGUGACUUUCCGGCUCUAGGUAAUCUGUCUGGUUGGAACACACAUACAGGUUUAGCUUGCCCAAAUUGUAAUUUUGAAUCAAAAGGUUUUCGUCUUAGUAAAAGUAAGAAGUGGUGUUUUAUGGGUCAUCGUCGUUUUUUGAGCAGAAAUCAUAGAUUUAGACAAAAUCGAGUUCGCUUUAAUGGUGACACAGAAGAACGAAAUCCGCCAUCAAAAAUAUCAGGAUCUGACAUUUUAAGGCAAACAAAAGAUCUUGAUGUUACAUUUGGGAAAAGAGAAAUGUUGAAUGGUAACAAAAAGAGACCUAGAAAAAAAGUUCAGCAGUGGAAUAAACGAAGUAUAUUCUUUGAGCUUCCAUAUUGGGAGUUUAAUUUGCUGCGUCAUAAUCUAGAUUUUAUGCAUAUUGAAAAAAAUGUAUGUGACAAUGUCUUGUAUACUUUGCUGAAUGAUAAGAGUAAAUCAAAAUACAAUCUCAAUGCUCGAAAAGAUUUGCAAGAGAUGGGUAUUAGACGCGAUCUUUGGCCUGAUGAAAAAGGGAGAUAUCAUCUUGCUUUGUUUUCACUAACACGUGAUACAAAAAGGUUGUUUUUGAACACAUUGAAAAAUGUUAGAUUUCCAGAUGGUUACUCAAGUAACAUUUCUAGAUGUGUUGAUUACGCUCAACAAAAGAUUUCUGGUUUGAAAAGUCACGAUUGUCACAUUUUAUUCGAAUACUUGCUACCUUUAGCCAUUCGCAAUUUAUUGCCAAACCAUGUUACAACAGUCUUGGUGGAGUUUUGUUCAUUUUAUAGAGUUCUCUGUGGGAAAAGUUUAAAUAUUACCGACCUUCAAAAUCUCCAAGAGCGUAUUGUUAUUACACUUUGUCAUUUGGAAAUGUUAUUCCCCCCAUCAUUCUUCACAGUUAUGGUUCAUUUAAGUGUUCAUCUAAUAGAGGAGGCAAAACUUGGAGGUCCGGUGCAUUAUCGAUACAUGUAUCCCAUAGAGAGGGAAUUAGGUCAUUUGAAAUCCUUUGUACGCAAUAAGGCUCGAGCAGAAGGUUCUAUAGCUGAGGGUUACAUAAUGGAAGAGUCGCUCACUUUUUGUUCUCGGUACAUUGAAGAUAUAGAGACACGGUUCAAUAGACCUAGACGUGUCUAUGAUGACUCAAAUGAGAAUGAAUCUUCCUUUGCAUCUCCCGUCUUCCCUCGACUUGGUAAACCAGUGGGAGCUUCCUCAGAUUUCACAUUAACUCGUUUGCAAAAGAUUCAAGCUCAUCGAUAUGUUCUUCUCAAUUGUGCAAUAGUCACACCAUUUGUUGAAGAAUUCAGAGACUUCAUAAGGAGAAGUUCAAGGUCAAGAAGACCUUCUGCUACAGAAAUAGAAAAAAGAGUGUAUAAAGAUUUUGUUGAUUGGUUUCAAAGAUUGAUUUUGAAACCAGAAUCAGCCAAUUCAUACUAAACUAAUCUAAAAUUCUUAGCACGCGGACCUUUGGACAAAGCAAAGAGAUAUACUGCUUACAACAUUAACGGGUUCAAAUUUCGAACAUUAUCUAGAGAAGAGGGAUUAAGAACACAAAAUAGUGGGGUUUUUCUAACAUCCAACACAUCUUGUGUUUCAAGUAGUGUUGAUAGAAACUUAAGACAAGCAGAUUUGCCUUAUUAUGGGAAGUUGGAAGAUAUCAUUGAGAUUAACUACUAUGGUCAUUUCAAGGUUGCUCUUUUCAAAUGCAAAUGGGCAGAUACCACACGAGAUAGAGGGUAUAAAAAGGAUAGUUGGAAUUUCAAUUGUGUAAAUUUUGAUAGAUUGAUUCAUAAUGGUGACCGUGAAGAACAUGAUCCGUAUAUUGAGGCAUCUCAAGCUCAAUUGCUGUAUUAUGUUGAUGAUUUUGUUAAUACCGGAUGGAGUGUUGCCGUGCAUUUAAAGCCGAGAGAUUUGUAUGAAAUGGGGGAAGAAGUAGAAGAGGAAGUUCAUGAAAACAUGUCGUAUGAAGAACAUGAACUUCCUUUGCAUUUUGAUAACAAUGAUGAUGAGUAUGUGCAAUUAGCUACAAAUCAUUUGAAUGAUGAUGUAGUUGAUUAAAUAUUAGGCAUGGAAAAGCAAAAGCGUUUUCCAAAUCCAUUAAAGUCAACACCUCAAGUCCAUACUUCACCUCAAGUCCAUACUUCACCUCAAGUUUCCCAAUCACCUCAAGCAUCCCAAGCUCAUGCUUUUUCUCAAGUUCCACCUCAAGUUCAUAUUACACAUCAAGUUUUACCUAGAGUUCAUACUUCACCCCAAGUUCCACUUCAAGCUCAUGCUUCAUCUCAAAUUCCAACCCAAGUUCCUCUUAAACAUCAAUCUCUACCUCAAGCUCAUAAUAUACCUCAAGCACCAACUUCAUCUCAUUCAUUACCUCAAGUUCAAACUUCAACUCAUUCUUUAUCUCAAGCACAUCAUAGUGAAUCAUCUCAUUCAUUACUUUUUAUGAUAUAUUUAUGAUAUAAUUUAUUUUAUUUCUCAAGACUCACAAGGAGCUACUAAGAAGAUAAAACUCAAGUAUUGGCAAGUCAAUGAUUUACCUAUUGGGGAACGUGUAAUUGUACACUUUGAUGACCGAUUUGCUGCAUAUGGUGAAGCACAAGGUUUGCUAGCAGGAUAUUGUGGAACAUUAGCAACUAAUUCCAAUUUAUUUCCAAUUAAUUUUGAAAGGUGGUCUGGAAAGUUAG